rnacentral:tRNA from 1 species
GGAUGUUUAGUUUAUCUAAAACAAAUGUUUUGAAAACAUUUAAAGGAAUUUUUUCCAACCUCCA